AACCAAAUUAAUACUCUUUAAGUUAUUUUUCUUAAUCAAAUUAAACCCUCUUUUGGUAGAGUUGGAAAGCUAAGUUUUCAAGGAAAGUCAAUAAUGAAGCCAAUUGCAGCCUUUGUUCUUAUUUUCUUGUUUGCCUUGACCUUAGAGGGGAUGUGUCCAAGAGUGGCAGAAGGAUUCUUGUGGAGAAAGAAAUGCAAUGUUGCAAGUGUCAAGUACAAAGGGCCAUGCGCAAAUGACUCCGACUGUUAACUCCGUUUGCAAGUCGGAGGGAAUGAAAUCAGGAGAUUGCCAUGGCCUACGCAGAAGAUGCCUUUGCUGUCCUCAUUAGGGUUCCGUCAUUGAUUAUGACGACUAAGUACUCUCUCUGUCCGAAAUUAAUAGUCAUGAUCGUUCAAACAAACUACUAAUGUAACAAGUAAAACCACAACGAAUGACGAAGAUAGGGAGUACGACUAUCUAUCUAUCUAGCUCCAUGUACUUGCAUUUGUAACUUUUAUGUUUGUUUCACAAUCAAAACAGUAUCUUUUCUGUAUAAUUGUCCUAAAUCAAUUCAAUCUAAAUAAAGCUCCAAAAUUCAAGUCAAUCAA